rnacentral:rRNA from 1 species
CCCUUAGAUGUCCGGGGCCGCACGCGCGCUACACUGAAGGAAUCAGCGUGGCUUUCUCCCUGACCCGAAAGGGUUGGGAAACCCGUUGAAUCUCCUUCGUGAUAGGGAUUGGGGCUUGAAAUUGUUCCCCAUGAACGAGGAAUUCCCAGUAAGCGCGAGUCAUAAGCUCGCGUUGAUUACGUCCCUGCCCUUUGUACACACCGCCCGUCGCUACUACCGAUUGAGUGGUCCGGUGAGGCUUUGGGAUCUGAGCGGAAAGAGCGUUUCGCUGUUUCUGCUCGUAAAACUCAGUCGAACCUUAUCAUUUAGAGGAAGGAGAAGUCGUAACA